rnacentral:rRNA from 1 species
UACGAAGGGUGCAAGCGUUACUCGGAAUUACUGGGCGUAAAGGGUGCGUAGGUGGUUUGUUAAGUCCGUUGUGAAAUCCCUGGGCUCAACCUGGGAAUGGCAGUGGAUACUGGCAAGCUAGAGUGCGGUAGAGGGUAGUGGAAUUCCCGGUGUAGCGGUGAAAUGCGCAGAUAUCGGGAAGAACACCCGUGGCGAAGGCGGCUCUCUGGGACGGUACUGACGCUGAGACGCGAAAGCGUGGGGAGCGAACAGG